AUUGAACGCUGGCGGCAGGCCUAACACAUGCAAGUCGAGCGGAUGAAGGGAGCUUGCUCCUGGAUUCAGCGGCGGACGGGUGAGUAAUGCCUAGGAAUCUGCCUGGUAGUGGGGGAUAACGUCCGGAAACGGGCGCUAAUACCGCAUACGUCCUGAGGGAGAAAGUGGGGGAUCUUCGGACCUCACGCUAUCAGAUGAGCCUAGGUCGGAUUAGCUAGUUGGUGGGGUAAAGGCCUACCAAGGCGACGAUCCGUAACUGGUCUGAGAGGAUGAUCAGUCACACUGGAACUGAGACACGGUCCAGACUCCUACGGGAGGCAGCAGUGGGGAAUAUUGGACAAAGGGCGAAAGCCUGAUCCAGCCAUGCCGCGUGUGUGAAGAAGGACUUCGGAUUGUAAAGCACUUUAAGUUGGGAGGAAGGGCAGUAAGUUAAUACCUUGCUGUUUUGACGUUACCAACAGAAUAAGCACCGGCUAACUUCGUG
rnacentral:rRNA from 1 species